AUACGUAGGUGGCAAGCGUUGUCCGGAUUUACUGGGUGUAAAGGGUGCGUAGGCGGCUCUGCAAGUCAGGUGUGAAAACCAUCGGCUUAACUGAUGGACUGCAUUUGAAACUGUGGGGCUUGAGUGGAGUAGAGGCAGACGGAAUUCCCGGUGUAGCGGUGAAAUGCGUAGGAUCGGGAAGAACACCAGUGGCGAAGGCGGUCUGCUGGGCUCUAACUGACGCUGAGGCACGAAAGCAUGGGUAGCAAACAGGAUUAGAUACCCUGGUAGUCCAUGCCGUAAACGAUGAUUACUAGGUGUGGGGGGUCUGACCCUCUCCGUGCCGGAGUUAACACAAUAAGUAAUCCACCUGGGAAGUACGACCGCAAGGUUGAA
rnacentral:rRNA from 1 species